AGUCGAACGGGAGGAAAAGAGAAGCUUGCUUCUUUUUGAAUCUAGUGGCAAACGGGUGAGUAACACGUAAACAACCUGCCUUCAGGAUGGGGACAACAGACGGAAACGACUGCUAAUACCGAAUGUGUUCCGGAGACCGCAUGAUUUCCGGAAGAAAGGAUGGCCUCUAUUUAUAAGCUAUCGCCUGAAGAGGGGUUUGCGUCUGAUUAGGCAGUUGGUGAGGUAACGGCCCACCAAACCUACGAUCAGUAGCCGGUCUGAGAGGAUGAACGGCCACACUGGAACUGAGACACGGUCCAGACUCCUACGGGAGGCAGCAGUGGGGAAUCUUCCGCAAUGGACGAAAGUCUGACGGAGCAACGCCGCGUGAGUGAUGACGGCCUUCGGGUUGUAAAGCUCUGUGAUCGGGGACGAAUGGCUGGUAUGCUAAUACCAUAUCAGAGUGACGGUACCCGAAUAGCAAGCCACGGCUAACUACGUGCCAGCAGCCGCGGUAAUACGUAGGUGGCAAGCGUUGUCCGGAAUUAUUGGGCGUAAAGCGCGCGCAGGCGGCUUCUUAAGUCCAUCUUAAAAGUGCGGGGCUUAACCCCGUGAUGGGAUGGAAACUGGGAGGCUGGAGUAUCGGAGAGGAAAGUGGAAUUCCUAGUGUAGCGGUGAAAUGCGUAGAGAUUAGGAAGAACACCGGUGGCGAAGGCGACUUUCUGGACGACAACUGACGCUGAGGCGCGAAAGCGUGGGGAGCAAACAGGAUUAGAUACUCUGGUAGUCCACGCCGUAAACGAUGAAUACUAGGUGUAGGAGGUAUCGACCCCUUCUGUGCCGGAGCUAACACAAUAAGUAUUCCGCCUGGGAAGUACGAUCGCAAGAUUAAAACUCAAAGGAAUUGACGGGG
rnacentral:rRNA from 1 species